UUGGAGGGCAAGUCUGGUGCCAGCAGCCGCGGUAAUUCCAGCUCCAAUAGCGUAUAUUAAAGUUGUUGCAGUUAAAAAGCUCGUAGUUGAAUUUCGGGGUUCUUCCGUUGGUCAGGCUAACAAGUCUGUACUAGCGUGUAGAAUCUCUACCUCCUGGGGAACCAUCAUAUUAUUAAUUUAGCGUGGUGGGAAACCAGGACCUUUACCUUGAAAAAAUUAGAGUGUUCAAAGCAGGCUUACGUCUGAAUACAUUAGCAUGGAAUAAUAAAAUAGGACGGUGGUCCUGUUUUGUUGGUUUCUGAAUCACCGUAAUGAUUAAUAGGGAUAGUUGGGGGCAUUAGUAUUCAAUUGUCAGAGGUGAAAUUCUUGGAUUUAUUGAAGACUAACUUCUGCGAAAGCAUUUGCCAAGGAUGUUUUCAUUAAUCAAGAACGAAAGUUAGGGGAUCGAAGACGAGCAGAUACCGUCGUAGUCUUAACCAUAAACUAUGCCGACUAGGGAUCGGACGAUGUUAAAUUUUAUUGACUCGUUCGGCGCCUUACGGGAAAC
rnacentral:rRNA from 1 species